GACGAACGCGGCGGCGUGCCUAAUACAUGCAAGUAGAACGCUGAAGGAGGAGCUUGCUUCUCUGGAUGAGUUGCGAACGGGUGAGUAACGCGUAGGUAACCUGCCUGGUAGCGGGGGAUAACUAUUGGAAACGAUAGCUAAUACCGCAUAAGAGUAGAUGUUGCAUGACAUUUGCUUAAGAGGUGCAAUUGCAUCACUACCAGAUGGACCUGCGUUGUAUUAGCUAGUUGGUGAGGUAACGGCUCACCAAGGCAACGAUACAUAGCCGACCUGAGAGGGUGAUCGGCCACACUGGGACUGAGACACGGCCCAGACUCCUACGGGAGGCAGCAGUAGGGAAUCUUCGGCAAUGGACGGAAGUCUGACCGAGCAACGCCGCGUGAGUGUAGAAGGUUUUCGGAUCGUAAAGCUCUGUUGUAAGAGAAGAACGAGUGUGAGAGUGGAAAGUUCACACUGUGACG
rnacentral:rRNA from 1 species